CUUACGGCAACAACUUCUCCAGAAUUUGACUUGGAAAUGCCAGCGACAUCAAAGAACAUUACGUGAGAGUAUGAGAAGCAAGGAAUGAAUAAUCAAGGCAAAAAUUGCCACACUUUGGGAUGCAUUAUUAAUCAGUAAUGGCAAUAUGGAUAGUCUUUGGUUGGUCCUCUGGAGGUAUAUGGACUUGGUGUUAGGAUUUUCACAAAGUAGAACUAUAAGUGUUUGAUCUUAGGAGGAGUGAACCAGAUCGAUUCAGCUGCAUCCUAUGUCGCCAUGUGCAAGGUAGUGGUGUCAUGAACUCAUGAUGCAUGUGUUGAAUCAUCUUGACCAUUGAUUAGUAUUAUGCAUUUAAAAUAUACUACUUUGGCUGGUAUGCAUGUGAUUCCUGAAUUACAAGGAUUCACAUGGUACUUUGGAGUUGCAGAUUGCUAAUAAGUAUUUGCAUAUAUAAUACGUCUCUGCGUGUCUUUUUUAUUUCCUUAUGGCAAAGAAAAAUCUAUUAAACCACCUUUAAAUACAUAUACAUUUCUGCAAUAAUAAAAUAGAAUAUGGAUGUAUCAUGAGCCACAGAGAUCUCGUAUAAACACUUGAUUGUCAAUGUGAUAGAUAUUAGUAUGGAUAAAAUGUAAAAAAAUCACAUCAAUAUUGAUCAAAAAAGAAAUUGUUUGUUGGUAAAGACAACAACUUCGAAUCUGAAUAAUCUGUGGUGCUCACGUCGUAUAAUGAGAAUAUACGACAAUAUCAGUUUUAAAUAUGUAUAGAAACAGACACUUUAUAAUUCUACGCUGCUUCCGUGGCAAAAAGGAAGACAAAUUUCUUCUUUUGGUAGGGUAUGCAAGGAAGAGAUAUGCAACAACAUGGCACUUGAACUUAUUUAUACCUUUUAGAAACUUAUAGGUCACUAAUACAUUCAAAAACAUGUGCUUUCAUAACCAUGUUUCCUACCAUCAUAUAUAACACAUAUACCCUUAUAUAACCUUCAUAAAGUAGCACAUCCAUAUUUUCACAAUCUAUAAAUCCGAGGUGUUUUGCCAUCACACAACGACAAUAUUUAUUCCAUUGUA